UGGGUGUUUCUCGCAGAGGGGGAUUUGGC
rnacentral:piRNA from 1 species